rnacentral:rRNA from 1 species
UACGUAGGGGGCAAGCGUUGUCCGGAUUUAUUGGGCGUAAAGAGCGUGUAGGCGGCCAGACAGGUCAGCUGUGAAAACUCGAGGCUCAACCUCGAGACGUCGGUUGAAACCGUCUGGCUAGAGUCCGGAAGAGGAGAGUGGAAUUCCCGGUGUAGCGGUGAAAUGCGCAGAUAUCAGGAGGAACACCGGUGGCGAAGGCGGGUCUCUGGACCGAUACUGACGCUGAGGAGCGAAAGCGUGGGGAGCGAACAGG